UCGCCCCUUUUGUGCUUGGGCCGAAGUACUGACAGCCUGAGCUGGCCGGCAGGUCCCUAGGUGAACGAGGGCUGGCGGGUGUGUGCUCGCAGGCGUGCGGCUGAGGCGUCUGCUGCUUUAUUCCGUAAUCAGCUCUCGGACCCGCAGCGUCCGGGACGGUGCUGAGGCGGAGGAUGGCGGGCUGGACCUGGAGCUGAACCCGGCGCGGCCGGCCGCGAGCAAACACGGUUCCCGCACGGUAGCGCCGUGUUACAGCCCAACUCAGUUUCUCAGUGCUGUGCGUCAAGUCUGACCUUUAAUGCUCUCAACAGUCCACGCGUCUGUCACCCCAGUUUUCCAGUCCAGGGAGCCAGGAUUAAAAAAAAAAAUUGAGUAGCUGUGCCCAGGAACUCAUAAUCCGUGACCUUCAUGGCAGGACAGCCCUGCGCUCUGCCCCCUGACGUUCUUCACACGCUGGAAUCAGGGAAUCCCGGGACGGAGAGCUGAAGGGUGGGGCUAAACCGGUUUGAGGCAAAAAGUGCAGGGAAGAACAUCUCUGGCAAAUUUGCUUGGGCAAGAAAAGCACUGUGACUACAGUUGAGAGACUAGGAAGAGUGACAGGCGGGCUGAUGGCGCCCCUGACGGCUCAGCCCUGCCCACCUGCAGGGGCCAGGCUCCCGGGGUAGCCGGGGUAGCCGUGCUGUAGGCCUCUAAAUAAUAACACUAGGUGGGGUGGGGGAGUAACUAAAACAGCAUAGUGAUUUUGGUCCCAGUUUUAAUCCCACACCUCCACAAGCCAGAGCUGAGCAAUACUCUUCUAAAGAGAAAAAAAAAAGAAGAAGAAAAACAAACAAAAACCACCCGAGGUGAUGGGAGUCCUGCAGGCUCCCCAUUGAUAACCCUGGUGACAAGAGAGAAAAAGAGAAAGAGUGGCAUGAAGCUUAACUCUUUCAGAUAGAAGAAGAGAGACUGAGCAGAAAGGCAGAAGGAAAGAUGGAAGGACCACAGUACUGAAGCUUCCUCCAGUGCCACUGGGGCCCAACUUGAACCUGGUUUGUGAAUCAUGACAAAGCAGGCACACUACUGAGCCAUGGAAGAACUCCACUCACAGGGAGUUGUGAUAAAUCAGAGCAUCAGCCCUUUCCGUUCGGAUUCCAAUAAGUCUUACACUUCAAAAUUGCUGGCCUAAAAAGGAUUCUUGAGAAGCAGCAUGUCUUCUUUUUUUUCUCUUGAAAGCAACACCAGAAACAGUCUGAUUUCCUUGUACACUUAGAUGCCUACAAAAAAGAAAAGGUCAUUUUCUGUGCUUCCUGAUCUAUCCUCUUUCAACCCCUCAGCAUGCUCCAGUAGACUGCCUACAGAUGGACAUUCUGUUGAGAACUUCCAAACUGUUCCAUGAGACUAAGCAACCAAGCUGAAAAGAGAGGUGACGUUUCCUCAUCUAUUGCUUAGAAUUUUAGGUUUGUUGUAGUUGACUCAGCUUUUGAAUACAAGUAUAUACUUAAAGUAAUCAUGCAAACACUUCUCAUUAUUGCCAGGCUCUGUGUUGAGCAUAUUGUGUUUCUCCAAAACUCACAACGUUCUUUAAAAUCAAGUACUUUUACAACAACAAGGGCAACAGCAAGGCAACAAAAUGGGAAAAAAUGGCUUUUAGGAGCGGUGGACUCCUAGUGCAGGCACUGAGCCAAGCAGUAACCCUGGAGGCAACAACAACAACAGUAACAACAAAAGCAACAAAAAUCAAGUACUAUUAAUGUUUGUCAUUUUGCAAAUGAGAAGUUAAAGCUUAGAAAACUUCAUUGAUUUGCUCAGACAUCACAAGUAAGUCACAGGUUCAUUUUGUAAAAUUUUAGAGUUCAAGCCCUUAGCUGUUGCAGUGUAUUAUCUGGGUAGAAAAUUUAGAAGCAGAUUUGCUAGCAGAAGUCAUGAUUCACAGGCAAAAAGUAAAUAUUUAUUGAAAGAGUUUAUAAAAAAAAAACCCAGCAAAUGUAUUUUGAAGCUGUUUGGAGGAAACAUAAAAAAGACGAGUGGAAAGAAUUAUUACUUCUCUUUGUAAAGUACUACUCAUAGGAUUGGUAGGGUCUGUGUGAUGGCUGCAGAUUGGAAAAGACCAAAAAGCAUAUACCAUCCAACAUUACCUUUAAAUACAAUAACCCCAUAAAGAAAGAAACUAUCAUACAAACACCCAACUCUUUUACAAAUUAAAUGAAACAAAUAUUUCCCUCUUGCCCUGACUUAAUUAAUAUUGGCUUAAAGAAAACCUAAAUCUGUAGAUACUUAGGGAAUUGGGGUCUUAUUCUCUAAAAAGUCAUUGCUUCUCUUUUUUGUCAAUGACAGCAUUUAAAUUAGUUCCAUUUGGAAGCAUUUGCACUCCGGGAUGGGUCUAGCAGCCUAUGCAAUUCAGUGUUGAGCAUGUACAAAAUACAGCAAAGACUAUAUAAGCUAUUAUCUCUUUGUCUUCCAAAUUUUACCAUAGGUAUACCCUUUAAAAAUGUUUUUUAUUGACAUAGAUUUCAGGAGUACACUUCUUACCUCUGUAUGUGAAGAAACUUCAUUGUACCCACUCAUUGUACCAAAGUCCUAGUGCCAUUCCUUUCCACCCACUCUCCAUAAUUUUAGAGAGUGAAAGAUAUGUUCAAAAAUCAUUGGCAGGGCCAGAUGGUAGGUAGCUCAGCGGGUUAAGCACACGUGGUGCCAAACCCAAGGACUAGUUCAAGGAUCCCAGUUCAAGGCCCUGGUUCCCCACCUGCAUGGAGGUCACUUCACAGGCAAUGAAGCAGGUCUGCAAAUGUCUUUCUCUCCCCCUCUCUGUCACCCCCUACUCCUCUAUCAAUUUCUCUCUGUCCUAUCCAACAACAACAACAAGGGCAACAAAAAUGGGGAAAAUGGCCUCCAAGAGUAGUGGAUUAGUAGUGCAGGCACUGAGACCCAGCAAUAACCCUGGAGGCCAAAAAAAAAAAAAAAAAAAAAAAUCAUUGGCUUGAUUCAUGUCCUGUCUCCAAUCAAAUCUUAGCACUCUAUUUUUCUAAGCAUAUUUUGUAUCUUUUCAAUGUCUGUAAGUAAAUUUUCUAGUUCUGUGAAUAUAAAGGGUAAAAGAAGUUUAUCAUGGUGGAAGCCUCUUUCAAUAGCCAUCAGAUCCCUUAAAGUGAAAGUACUUGUUAUUUGUCUUUAGCAAAUAAAACAAACAGCAAUCCUUUGA